rfam:Nippostrongylus brasiliensis genome assembly, scaffold: NBR_scaffold0000791
ACAUCGGUAGCGCAGUGGUUAGUGCAGUAUGCCGGAUACAGAAAGACGCGGGUUCAAUUCCCGUCCGAUGUC